AGAGUUUGAUCCUGGCUCAGAACGAACGCUGGCGACGUGCUUAACACAUGCAAGUCGAACGAGAAAGGAUUUCUUCGGAGAUCCGAGUAAAGUGGCGCACGGGUGAGUAACGCGUAGAUAAUCUACCCCGGUGUCCGGGAUAACACCGCGAAAGCGGUGCUAAUACCAGAUACGCUCCUUCGGGAGGAAAGAUGGCCUCUUCAUGAAAGCUACCGCAUUGGGAUGAGUUUGCGUACCAUUAGCUAGUUGGUGGGGUAAGAGCCUACCAAGGCGACGAUGGUUAGCGGGUCUGAGAGGAUGAUCCGCCACACUGGAACUGAAACACGGACCAGACUCCUACGGGAGGCAGCAGUGAGGAAUUUUGCGCAAUGGGGGAAACCCUGACGCAGCGACGCCGCGUGGGUGAUGAAGGCUUUCGGGUCGUAAAGCCCUGUCAAGUGGGAAGAAGUGUGCACAUGUUAAUACCAUGUGCAUUUGACGGUACCACUAAAGGAAGCACCGGCGAACUCCGUGCCAGCAGCCGCGGUAAUACGGAGGGUGCAAGCGUUGUUCGGAUUUACUGGGCGUAAAGGGCGCGUAGGCGGCGUAACAAGUCAGGUGUGAAAGUCCAGGGCUUAACCCUGGAAGUGCAUCUGAAACUGUUAUGCUUGAGUAUCGGAGAGGAAAGUGGAAUUCCCGGUGUAGAGGUGAAAUUCGUAGAUAUCGGGAGGAACACCUGAAGCGAAGGCGACUUUCUGGACGAAUACUGACGCUGAGGCGCGAAAGCGUGGGGAGCAAACAGGAUUAGAUACCCUGGUAGUCCACAGCUGUAAACGAUGUACACUAGAUGUUGGGGGAGUUGACCCCCUCAGUGUCGGAGCUAACGCAUUAAGUGUACCGCCUGGGGAGUACGGUCGCAAGAUUAAAACUCAAAGUAAUUGACGGGGGCCCGCACAAGCGGUGGAGUAUGUGGUUUAAUUCGAUGCAACGCGCAGAACCUUACCAAGACUUGACAUCCCGAGAACAUCUUGGAAACAAGAAAGUGUCUUCAUUAGAGGGAGCGCGGAGACAGGUGGUGCAUGGCUGUCGUCAGCUCGUGUCGUGAGAUGUUGGGUUAAGUCCCGCAACGAGCGCAACCCACGUCUUUAGUUGCCAUCAUUUAGUUGGGCACUCUAGAGAGACUGCCCCGGUCAACGGGGAGGAAGGUGUGGAUGACGUCAAGUCCUCAUGGCCUUUAUGAUCAGGGCUACACACGUACUACAAUGGCAGGGACAAAGGGCAGCGAACUAGCGAUAGUAAGCGAAUCCCAUAAAACCGAUCUCAGUCCGGAUCGGAGUCUGCAACUCGACUCCGUGAAGUUGGAAUCGCUAGUAAUCGUGGAUCAGCAUGCCACGGUGAAUACGUUCCCGGGCCUUGUACACACCGCCCGUCACACCACGGGAGUUGGUUGUACCAGAAGACGUUGAGCUAACCUUCGGGAAGCAGGCGUCCAAGGUAUGGCUGGUAACUGGGGUGAAGUCGUAACAAGGUAACC
rnacentral:rRNA from 1 species